AGGGCUUGUUUUGGAUCCACUAAAUAUUGUCAUGCAUGGCUCAGAAACAUGCCUUGCAGCAAUCCAGAUUGUCUAUAUCUUCAUGAGAUUGGCUCUCAAGAGGAUAGUUUCACAAAAUAUGAAAUAAUUUCAGCAUACACUAGGUAAAGUAUGAAGAGGCAAGUCAAGUGGCAAAUGAUGUUGUUGGUAGCAUCAGAACCAUUGCAUCAUUCUGUGCCGAACUUUAAGAUUAUACUUGUAUUGUCAAUUCCAUGUACUUUAAAGUUUUAAUUUCUUGCAAAAUUGCUCUCCUGAAAUAUCUUCUUUGA